rnacentral:rRNA from 1 species
GAUGAACGCUGGCGGCGUGCCUAAUACAUGCAAGUCGAGCGAACAGAUAAGGAGCUUGCUCCUUUGACGUUAGCGGCGGACGGGUGAGUUACACGUGGAUAACCUACCUAUAAGACUGGGAUAACUUCGGGAAACCGGAGCUAAUACCGGAUAACAUAUUGAACCGCAUGGUUCAAUAGUGAAAAGCGGCUUUGCUGUCACUUAUAGAUGGAUCCGCGCCGGAUUAGCUAGUUGUUAAGGUAACGGCUUACCAAGGCAACGAUACGUAGCCGACCUGAGAGGGUGAUCGGCCACACUGGAACUGAGACACGGUCCAGACUCCUACGGGAGGCAGCAGUAGGGAAUCUUCCGCAAUGGGGGAAAGCCUGACGGAGCAACGCCGCGUGAGUGAUGAAGGUCUUCGGAUCGUAAAACUCUGUUAUCAGGGAAGAACAAAUGUGUAAGUAACUGUGCACAUCUUGACGGUACCUGAUCAGAAAGCCACGGCUAACUACGUG